rnacentral:misc_RNA from 1 species
GAACGCACAUUGCGCCCUUUGGCAUUCCGAAGGGCAUGCCCGUUCGAGCGUCAUUUCACCACUCAAGCCUGGCUUGGUAUUGGGCGACGGAGUUCCUCCGCGCCUCUAAUCGAUCGGCUGGACGGUUCGAAUCUCAGCGUUGUGGUUUCAUCAAAUCGCUGGCGAGGACGACCGGGCGCGCCGUUAAAACUUCACACAAAUUGACCUCGGAUCGGGUAGGGAUACCCGCUGAACUUAAG